rnacentral:rRNA from 1 species
UACGAAGGGGGCUAGCGUUGCUCGGAAUCACUGGGCGUAAAGGGUGCGUAGGCGGGUCUUUAAGUCAGGGGUGAAAUCCUGGAGCUCAACUCCAGAACUGCCUUUGAUACUGAGGAUCUUGAGUUCGGGAGAGGUGAGUGGAACUGCGAGUGUAGAGGUGAAAUUCGUAGAUAUUCGCAAGAACACCAGUGGCGAAGGCGGCUCACUGGCCCGAUACUGACGCUGAGGCACGAAGACCAGGGGAGCAAACGGGG